rnacentral:rRNA from 1 species
AACGAACGCUGGCGGCAGGCCUAACACAUGCAAGUCGAACGCUUGUAGCAAUACGGGAGUGGCGGACGGGAGAGAAACGCGUGGGUAUCUACCUAGCAGUACGGAAUAACCGCGGGAAACUGCGGCUAAUACCGUAUACGCCCUACGGGGGAAAGAUUUAUCGCUGCUGGAUGAGCCCGCGUCCGAUAAGCUAGUUGGCGGGGUAAUGGCCCACCAAGGCUAUGAUCGGUAGCUGGUCUGAGAGGACGAUCAGCCUCACUGGGACUGAGACACGGCCCAGACUCCGACGGGAGGCAGCAGUGGGGAAUAUUGGACAAUGGGGGGAAACCCUGAUCCAGCCAUGCCGCGUGGGUGAUGAAGGCCUUCGGGUUGUAAAGCCCUUUUGGCGGGGACGAUAAUGACGGUACCCGCAGAAUAAGCCCCGGCUAACUUCGUGCCAGCCGCCGCGGUAAAAC